CGGAGGGCGUAGCGUUGUUCGGAAUUACUGGGCGUAAAGCGCACGUAGGCGGACCGGAAAGUCAGAGGUGAAAUCCCAGGGCUCAACCUUGGAACUGCCUUUUGAAAGACUAUCGGUCUGGAGUUCGAGAGAGGUGAGUGGAAUUCCGAGUGUAGAGGUGAAAUUCGUAGAUAUUCGGAGGAACACCAGUGGCGAAGGCGGCUCACUGGCUCGAUACUGACGCUGAGGUGCGAAAGCGUGGGGAGCAAACAGGAUU
rnacentral:rRNA from 1 species